UCAACCCUUCGGAAAGAGAUGACUCGGAAUAAUACUUUGAAACUUACAUUUCUUUACCUGUGCAAAAAAUCAUAGAAAGUGAUAGCUCGUCUUCAACAAUGACCGGACUUUCCCGGUUGGAAAAUCUUGUGUAGUAUCGUCGUAGAAAGUGAUGGCUCGUCCUCAACGGUGACUAGACUUGCCUGAUUUGAAAAGUUUGUGUAGUAUCCUAGAA
rnacentral:lncRNA from 1 species